ensembl:lncRNA
UUCUCUCUCUCUGCUUUAUUCUUUAGACCAGUGGCUAUUUAUUUGAAUUACCUGCGAGCUUUUAAAAAUGAUUAGCGCCUGCCCUCCAAAUUCUGAUCGAAUUCUGUGGUUGGGGCUUGAGCAUCACUAUAUUUUUGAAGCUCCCAGGUGAUUCUGCUGUUCAGUCUGGUUUACACAGACCUAAAAGCCUGGCCUGGGUGCUGAAGAGCCAUGGGAAAGUUUGAUGCAGGGGAGCAAAGACCCCCAUUGGAGUGUUAGAAGGGGCCCUCUGAUGAGAGCUGGGGGGCGGUGAGUGGAGUGGGAACUGAGAUUUUGCUGUUGCAAAACCCUGCAAGGUGAAAUCAAAGGAAUAAAAUUCUGUGCAAAAGUAUUUAGGUGCUGCAGUCCUGGGAAGUGUCUUUGAGGAAUUUGUGGGCUGAAGUUAAUAAAAAAGGAAUAGACAAUCUCUUUCAUAUAUGUGACCAGGCCUGCAUUUCAAGCAUCUUCACAUUCCUGAAAACUCACUUAGAAACAUUUAGGAAGACAGAGAAGGACUGAGGGUCAGGGUGGGGUAUGUGCUCCCCGCCCCCAUGUUUGCUCUCCAGCCCCUGAGAGCUGAGCAGCCAGCCAUCUGCCCCUCACCUGAAAGUGGCUUUAAGACACAAGAGGCUUUAAUCCUUUUGACUUAAGGUUCUCAUUAGUUUUAAGAUUAUUCAUUGUGGUUGGCUUUACUUGGCUAUUUAUUUAAGUUACACGAUUGCAUGUACAUAUAUCAACCAUGGUGUGGGGUGGGAGCCCAGGACUUGGGGCAGAGGGCAUUACACUGCUCAGUCCCCCGGCAGACUGUGGCCAGAUAGGGUGGUGGCCUCCGGAGCUGAGUCCAUUGCCCUGGGAAGACUCCAGGGCUGCUCAGGAAGGCCCAUCUGGGGUCUUGGCAACUUUUCUUUGCAGAAGGGGCCCUUCUUGGGCAUCUGAAAGCGUCUAGCUGGCAGGUUUCUUAAAGAGCUGCAACUACAGUCACUGGAACGCUGACUCUGGGUUGAUUCAUGGAUCCUUCCUCUUAGCUCUGCCAGUGCCUAAGGGAAAGGCCUGGCCCAGAGCACUAUGAAGGCUCCUUCUUCAUGCACACUUAGCCUUCCAGACUGCCCUCCAGGACCCAGAGCAUAUACUACAAGCUCCUAAUAGAGUCCUCCAACCCAGCAUCUCUUAGACACAGCCAACUUCAUUCCAUCAGGAGGCCACUCCGACUUCUCUCUCAUAUCAAGGGACCCAAGGGGCACCCAGGCACAGGGGCAUGCUCACGGAGCACCCAGUAGUCGGAGCACCAAGACCUGGGUCAGUGAUUACAUGUGACACACAUGACAGGGCACAGCAAGGGUGUCACAGGUGUCGGAGGGCCCUGGGGAAGGAGGAUGAAUGAGAGCUCCUCAGAGAGAGUGGCACUUGAGCCUGCUGCAGUCUGGUUCUGCCCCUGCCCUUGCUGUGGGGUCUGGGGCAAGUCCCCUCCCCUCUGCAGGCCGCUGUCCUCACCUUCUGCUUGCCCCGCCAGGCUGUAGCACUCCACAGCCCUGGAAUUGUUCGUGGGGCUCAGGCUCCCAUUCAAAGUGGCCCAGCCUGUCACCACUCUCCCCUCCUGUGGCCUACAUUUUGGGUAUGGCAGCAGGGAGCAUCGUGGGUUUGCAGGCUGGUGAGCAGAUGAAGCUGACCACUCUCUCCAGGUUUAUCCCCUGCCAGCUGCAGGUAGUGGAGGCGGGGACACUGGGACUCUAGCUUUGGUGCUGAGUGACCUCGGGAGACUUCUUUCUGCCCCUCCCAUUUCGUGUCCAGAUGAAUGAACCCACAAGAACUUGGCUGGCUGGCUCUGAAUUCCGACUUCCCUGGGAAAGCACAGAACGUUACCUACACUGUUUAGCUGCUCCAGAAAGAGUUCUGCCAGGAGCAGAGGGGUGUAUCAGGGAGUUGUCUGAACAACCUCAGUGGCGUGACUCCAUUGAUAUGAGGAUCUGCCCUCGGACGGGAGGCGUCCUCUCUCUGAGGCAGGAAGGCCGUCUGAGGAGCCGACGGAGACACAGCCCUCCUCUCCCCAGUGCUGGGGAAGGAGAUUCUCUCUCUUGAACCCACAUCCACUUUUCCCACGGGACACAGGUGCCUCCACACCUCCCCCUGCCCCCCGCUCCCCACAGUCACUGGGCCCAUGAAAGAGGAGAAAUCUGGGAGAGGAGCUGGGCAAGUUGUAAAAAGAAGUUGUCUGUAGAAUUCCCCCUCUUCCUGCCUUGGGGCAUCCAGGCUUCAGGAACAUGGGGUGUCCUGUGAGGCUCUUGGUGUUCAUGUCCCUGGCCCACUGCUGCCUGACUUCUGACAAAGACCCCCUCACCCAUCUCAGGGCCUCUCCAGCCCCAUGCCUGCCUUGGCCUGUCCUCCUACAGCCUCAUGAAAAAGCCUGUCCUGCCUUCCCUUGUACUGAUCCUUGGCCUGGAAUGCUGACCCCACCCUGGCCUUUCGGCCCUCUGCCAAGUCCCGCUGCGCCCUCUCGCCUCAGUUCCCUGCUUCUACCCCACUUGACUGUGACCACCCCUCAUCCCAUCCCCACCUUGAAAUCCCCUUUGCGCCCAACACACAUUACUAAUGGGACCACUUUUGGUCUCGGGUAUAAGUAUCCGGCAGCUGUCCUGAGUUUUGCACUUGACUGAGGCCAUUGAGGUAGAGGCAACCUCGCUGUGUUUUUCCCCAAUGAGGAACAGAGUAGUUGCUCAUCAGUGUGUGCUGAAGGAACACUGAUGGACUCAGGUUAGCCCACCUCCACACUGCCCACCAAAUGAGAAGUGUUUGCCCGUGGGAACAGGGUGGUGGGUCCCUAGAACUAGGUGGACUUCCAGGGCGUAUUCAGUGGGCCGGCUGGGCACUCAGCACUGUUUAGGGCAUUGUUUGCAUGGGACAUGCACUCUGAGUUCCAUACAGCCUGGCUUCAGAUAAGCUCACAGGAACAAGUUGUCUUCUUUGAACUUGGCGACUGUCUGCAUUUGCCCAUAAGC